UACGAAGGGGGCUAGCGUUGUUCGGAAUUACUGGGCGUAAAGCGCACGUAGGCGGAUUUGUAAGUCAGGGGUGAAAUCCCGGGGCUCAACCUCGGAACUGCCUUUGAUACUGCAAGUCUCGAGUCCGAUAGAGGUGAGUGGAAUUCCUAGUGUAGAGGUGAAAUUCGUAGAUAUUAGGAAGAACACCAGUGGCGAAGGCGGCUCACUGGAUCGGUACUGACGCUGAGGUGCGAAAGCGUGGGAGCAACAGG
rnacentral:rRNA from 1 species